CUACGGGGCGCACCAGUUAGGAAUAUUCUGCAAUGCGCGAAAGCGUGACAGAUUGAGCCAGAGUGCUUUUCAAUUGAAAAGCUUUUGCCAAAUGUAAAAAGUUUGGCGAAUAAGGACUGGGUAAGACGAGUGCCAGCCGCCGCGGUAAUACUCGCGGUCCAAGUCGCAGCCAUUUUUAUUGGGUCUAAAACAUCCGUAGCUUGUUUGAUAAGUUUCUUGUGAAAUUCCAUAUCUUAAAUGUGGAGCGGGCAAGAAGUACUGUUGAACUAGAGACUGGAAGACGUAAGAAGUAUGUUUGGAGUAGCGGUAAAAUGUGUUAAUCCCAGACAGACUCACAAUAGCGAAGGCAUCUUACGAGGACAGUUCUGACAGUAAGGGAUGAAGGCUAGGGGCACAAAACGGAUUAGAUACCCCUGUAGUC
rnacentral:rRNA from 1 species